rnacentral:rRNA from 1 species
GACAGAGGGUGCAAACGUUGUUCGGAUUUACUGGGCGUAAAGCGUGUGUAGGCGGCUUCGCAAGUUGGAUGUGAAAUCCCACGGCUCAACCGUGGACGUGCAUCCAAAACUGCGUCGCUGGAGUCUCGGAGAGGAAGGUGGAAUGCUUGGUGUAGAGGUGAAAUUCGUAGAUAUCAAGCAGAACACCUGCGGCGAAGGCGGCCUUCUGGACGAUGACUGACGCUGAGACACGAAAGCGUGGGGAGCAAACAGGAUUAGAUACCCUGGUAGUCCACGCCGUAAACGAUGAGUGCUAGGUGUCACGGGCUUUGACCCUCGUGGUGCCGUAGCUAACGCAAUAAGCACUCCGCCUGGGGAGUACGGUCGCAAGACUAAA